rnacentral:rRNA from 1 species
CACGGGAGCAAUCCUGGUGGCGAGUGGCGAACGGGUGAGUAAUAUAUCGGAACGUACCUUUCAGUGGGGGAUAACGUAGCGAAAGUUACGCUAAUACCGCAUAUUCUGUGAGCAGGAAAGCAGGGGAUCUUAGGACCUUGCGCUGAUUGAGCGGCCGAUAUCAGAUUAGCUAGUUGGUGAGGUAAAGGCUCACCAAGGCGACGAUCUGUAGCGGGUCUGAGAGGAUGAUCCGCCACACUGGGACUGAGACACGGCCCAGACUCCUACGGGAGGCAGCAGUGGGGAAUAUUGGACAAUGGGGGAAACCCUGAUCCAGCGAUGCCGCGUGUGUGAAGAAGGCCUGCGGGUUGUAAAGCACUUUUGGUUGGGAAGAAAGGCGUACUGUGAAUAGCGGUACGAUAUGACGGUACUAGCCGAAUAAGCACCGGCAAACUCUGUGCCAGCAGCCGCGGUAAUA